CCCUUACCCAUAGAAUUGUUUUUAAACUGCCUAUGCUUUCAUAUUACUCAAUAUAAGAAUGGUACCCCCCUUUUAGCAGGAGUGAGGUUGCCCCAGCCUGACUUGGAAGAGGUUUGAUUUGAUUUCUCCCAGAGGAGGAGGAAUUGGAGUCCCAUGGACAGGGGUGGCCAAUCAGAAGGGGACUGAACUGCCUCUCGGUUGGUGAUGUUGGGCCAGUGACCACCUCUCAAUCCAACCUACCUCAUCCUAACAAAAACACCUUAAAGAAAAAGAGGUUGUUUCCUGGCCUCACUUUGCUGACCUAUGACCGGCGCUGACCUUUAGCUAGAGAAUGUGACAUUUUGUUCUCCUCUGGCGGAUGUGUGAGGCUCUCAUUAUUCAAAGCAAAUGCCAUGGAACCUGACAGGAAGGAACAGGUGGGCAAUUGGCUUCAUAGGAUCAGAGGACUGCAAUGGAAUGAAAAGCAAGCAUAUCCAAAGGAUGGUCCCAACCUAAGAUACGGUAUCUGCCGGCUUCCAACAAAUUAACCUCACAAAAGAGACAAGAUCACAGCAGGAGCAAGAAAUUUGCGACUCUCCAAAAUGAGUCAAACAUGGGAACCUUUUUCAGUUCAAGGGUCAUAUCUCCUCAGCUUACUACACUUUUGAGUGACAACUGAUCCAUGGUUAUUUGGUGUACCUUUGUGGACAUUUGACUUGCUGAUGAAGAACAUUUAUUGAAACAGUCUGUUAUUCCGGAAGUGCUGUUCUGUUGCUGUGUUUGGAGCACCUACCAUCAUUCUUCUGUGUUGCUGUGUUUAUAGCACCAUCUCGCUCCCCCUCACUUUUGGCAAAAUUCUGUAUUAACUUUGGAAGGCGUUUAGCCUCAAUUCAGUGAUUCUUUGCGGUCAAAUACUAAUCUGAUCAUUUCCUUUCAUGGAAUAUCUACUUCACUCUUAUUAGUUCGUGACUCCAUGUACAUAUUAUAUGUUUUCUGAUUGUGAAUUAAGAAACAGUUCGAUAGUGUUAUAUAAAUAUUGUUAGUAUACUACAGUCAUACUUCAGGUUGUAUGUGCUUUGGGAUGAGCGUGUUCGAAUUGCGCUCCGCGGCAACCCGGAAGUAACGGAGCACGUUACUUCCGAGUUUUGCCGCUUGCACAUGCGCAGAUGCU